GAUGAACGCUGGCGGCGUGCCUAAUACAUGCAAGUCGAGCGAACAGAUGAGGAGCUUGCUCCUCUGACGUUAGCGGCGGACGGGUGAGUAACACGUGGAUAACCUACCUAUAAGACUGGGAUAACUUCGGGAAACCGGAGCUAAUACCGGAUAAGAUAUUGAACCGCAUGGUUCAAUAGUGAAAGACGGUUUUGCUGACACUUAUAGAUGGAUCCGCGCCGCAUUAGCUAGUUGGUAAGGUAACGGCUUACCAAGGCAACGAUGCGUAGCCGACCUGAGAGGGUGAUCGGCCACACUGGAACUGAGACACGGUCCAGACUCCUACGGGAGGCAGCAGUAGGGAAUCUUCCGCAAUGGGCGAAAGCCUGACGGAGCAACGCCGCGUGAGUGAUGAAGGUCUUCGGAUCGUAAAACUCUGUUAUUAGGGAAGAACAAAUGUGUAAGUAACUAUGCACGUCUUGACGGUACCUAAUCAGAAAGCCACGGCUAACUACGUG
rnacentral:rRNA from 1 species